rnacentral:rRNA from 1 species
UACGGAGGGUGCAAACGUUGCUCGGAAUUAUUGGGCGUAAAGCGCGCGUAGGUGGCCUAUUAAGUCGGAUGUGAAAUCCCUUGGCUUAACCAAGGAAGUGCAUCCGAAACUGGUGGGCUAGAGUACAAGAGAGGGUUCUGGAAUUCUCGGUGUAGAGGUGAAAUUCGUAGAUAUCGAGAGGAACACCAGUGGCGAAAGCGAGAGCCUGGAUUGAUACUGACACUAAGGCGCGAAAGCGUGGGGAGCAAACAGG